UACAGAGGUCUCAAGCGUUGUUCGGAUUCAUUGGGCGUAAAGGGUGCGUAGGCGGCGCGGUAAGUCGGGUGUGAAAUCUCGGAGCUUAACUCCGAAACUGCAUUCGAUACUGCCGUGCUUGAGGACUGGAGAGGAGACUGGAAUUUACGGUGUAGCGGUGAAAUGCGUAGAUAUCGGGAGGAACACCAGUGGCGAAGGCGAGUCUCUGGGAUGAUGCUGACGCUGAGGCGCGAAAGCCAGGGGAGCAAACGGG
rnacentral:rRNA from 1 species